rnacentral:rRNA from 1 species
AUUGAACGCUGGCGGCAGGCCUAACACAUGCAAGUCGAGCGAGGGGCGGACGGGUGAGUACAGUAUGGGGACUGCCCGAUAGAGGGGGGUAACUACUGGAAACGGUAGCUAAUACCGCAUACUAUCGGAUAACCCAUAUGGGAUUAGCUAGUAGGUGAGGUAAUGGCCCACCUAGGCGACGAUCCCUAGCUGGUCUGAGAGGAUGAUCAGCCACACUGGGACGGAGACACGGCCCAGACUCCUACGGAGGCAGCAGUGGGGAAUAUUGCGCAAUGGGCGCAAGCCUGAUGCAGCCAUGCCGCGUGUAUGAAGAAGGCCUUAGGGUUGUAAAGUACUUUCAGUCGGGAGGCGUUACCGACAGAAGAAGCACCGGCUAACUCCGUGCCAGCAGCCGCGGUAAUUC